rnacentral:lncRNA from 1 species
GAAGGACCAUGGUUACAGACCGUUGAUUUCCAUCAGACAGCCAAGAUCUGAUCUCAUCAAGACUGUCUGAUCAAUCCGACAGCCCAGAUCAUCCUGAUCCAUCAAAUUCCAGCGCGUGCGCCACACUGGAUUACACCCUGGAGAGAGAAAAUUUUGCUUUUUAAAAGUAGGACACGUGUCACACAAUGGUUGGCUGGACGUGAUUUUUGUUCAUUUAAUACUUUGAACUCAAUUNNNNNAUUUUUUAUACCAAAAUUCAUAAUUUUUUUUUUGCUACAAAUAGAGACUUGGUUCGUUUGAUUUGGACACCGAAAAAAAAAUGCAAUUUUUCACUACCUUAAUCUCAUUUUUUGUCUACUAAAUACGUUACUUGUGUGUUGUAAUUUAACACGCACCACUCAACCAACUCACUGAAACCAUUAUACCAGGAAAAUAGUAGAUAAUAUUUUGGAACUUUUGGUAUAUUUUAUGAAAUUUUUGAAGACCUG